GACGAACGCUGGCGGCGUGCUUAACACAUGCAAGUCGAACGGAAAGGCCCUGCUUUUGUGGGGUGCUCGAGUGGCGAACGGGUGAGUAACACGUGAGUAACCUGCCCUUGACUUUGGGAUAACUUCAGGAAACUGGGGCUAAUACCGGAUAGGAGCUCCUGCUGCAUGGUGGGGGUUGGAAAGUUUCGGCGGUUGGGGAUGGACUCGCGGCUUAUCAGCUUGUUGGUGGGGUAGUGGCUUACCAAGGCUUUGACGGGUAGCCGGCCUGAGAGGGUGACCGGCCACAUUGGGACUGAGAUACGGCCCAGACUCCUACGGGAGGCAGCAGUGGGGAAUAUUGCACAAUGGGCGGACGCCUGAUGCAGCAACGCCGCGUGCGGGAUGACGGCCUUCGGGUUGUAAACCGCUUUCGCAUGUGACGAAGCGUGAGUGACGGUAAUGGGUAAAGAAGCACCGGCUAACUACGUG
rnacentral:rRNA from 1 species